GGGGAAUUAGCUCAGCUGGGAGAGCGCAUCGCUGGCAGCGAUGAGGUCAGGGGUUCGAGCCCCCUAUUCUCCA
rfam:Paenibacillus sp. IHB B 3415 contig_060, whole genome shotgun sequence.